rnacentral:rRNA from 1 species
GCAACUCGCCUACAUGAAGUCGGAAUUGCUAGUAAUCGCGGAUCAGCAUGCCGCGGUGAAUACGUUCCCGGGCCUUGUACACACCGCCCGUCACACCAUGGGAGUCGGUAACACCCGAAGCCUGUAGUCUAACCGCAAGGAGGACGCAGUCGAAGGUGGGAUUGAUGACUGGGGUGAAGUCGUAACAAGGUAGC